UACGGAGGGGACUAGCGUUGUUCGGAAUUACUGGGCGUAAAGCGCACGUAGGCGGAUUUGUAAGUCAGGGGUGAAAUCCCGGGGCUCAACCUCGGAACUGCCUUUGAUACUGCAAAUCUCGAGUCCGGAAGAGGUGAGUGGAAUUCCUAGUGUAGAGGUGAAAUUCGUAGAUAUUAGGAAGAACACCAGUGGCGAAGGCGGCUCUCUGGCUCGCAACUGACGCUGUAGCGCGAAAGCGUGGGGAGCGAACGGG
rnacentral:rRNA from 1 species